rnacentral:lncRNA from 1 species
GCAGAAGUAAGGAGUGCAGUUAGUUGGAAGGCUAAAAGAAUGGGGCUAAGGUCCCAGGUCUGCCAUGUUUCCUGUGGUGUGAGCUUAGGCAAGCCAUCUCCCUUCCAUGAUCCUCAUUUUCCACAUCUGAAGAAGAAAUUAAUUAAUGAGAGCUGCCUCUCCAAGUUGCUACCAAGAUCAGGUGAAAUAACAUAUGUGAAAACAAUUUUUACCAUCCUUGAAUCUGCAUGCAGUGUUACUGAUCAUCAUUUACUCAUUGAGAACUGACUUCUGUCUCCCUGCUCCAGUAACUCUGCUGGGCCCAAGAUGGGUCCACCUCGUUCAGAUGAGCACUCAAGAGAGGUGAGGGCAUGGCUGUCUUGGACAGCCCUCACAGGUCCCAUUUCAGAAACACUUUUCCUCACUGGGCUGGAUCUUCCUCUUUCCACCUCUGCUGUUCUUGUCUCAUCCCCAAGGCUUUCCAUCAGCCACCACAGUUUCUCCUCACACAAUAUAAAUAAGACUUUACUCCCUCUAGGAGUAUUUGUCGUAUAAAUGGUGAUUAUGCCAAUGGAAGUGGUUCUGAAAUCUUCAGUAUCAGCACUCCAGAUCUUUCUCUGUCUUUAUCUCUCUCUCUCUCUCUCACACACACACACACACACGAAUACACGUGCACACACUAAACAACUGCCAGUGACUGGCAUACAUAGCCUCCAACUAUAAAACCCUGAAGGCAGGAACCGUAUCUUAAUCACUGAAUUCCCAGUGCUUAGCACAAAGUCUGACACACAGUAGCUGCCUAAUAAAUGUUCCCUGGAAAGGUGACUGAAUGAAUAAAUGACUGGAUGAGUGACCGAAAUGACCAGUAUGACCUUGAGUGUUUCCAGGGUUGCCCAUGGCUGCAGACACUUCUUGGACUAGCUACUGUAGCUCAUAUUUCCCAGUAUUCCUGCCCCCAAUAAGAACCCUACCACACUUCCUCUGAUUUGGAACUGCUGGACACCCUGCUAUCCUCUGAAGUCCAUGCCCCCUCCUCUGUACAUCCUUGGUCUGCAUCUGGGAUGGCUGAGCUAUUUCUCACCAUGUGAAGUUAUCCAUGUGGGUCAUUCUAAAGGGAACUUAGCUACUUGUUUUUCUCCUGGGAUUCAGUGUCCUUCUGGUCCAUGUCCCACUACCCACCCAAGCUGCCCCUGGGAAGUUGGUGUCACUUAGUGCAAACAGGUUGGUUCCAUUCCAGAGCCUUUUGUUAGUAAGCUUUUCUGAUCAGGCCUGUUUGGGCUUAAAGCAAAUGUGAAAUCCACAGCAGACCCUUUGUUUUGCAGACAUAAUUCAACUCUUAGAGAAUUCAGAUGUCUGGAAAGAGUUGCACAGCUUCUGCUGAACUUGUAGGGAGGCACUGGGAUAGAAAGAGCACAAACUGGAGAUAACAAGAUCUAGAUUUAAUCUCGGCCCUGCCACUUUAGGGACAAGAAAAUUUUCUUCUCUGGGCCUUUGUUUGUUCACUCAGAAAAUGAAUAUAAUCAUUCUUUUAUUUGGUCUAGAAUGCUUAUAAUUACAAGUGACAUAAACAAACUUGAUUUGGAGGGUGAGGGAUGGAAAGUAGGAAAUCCAUGGUAGUCUGUUCAGCCUCAGUCAAGGUUAGAACCAGAAGUUAAAUCAUAUUUCAAAGUUCUGAUACUGUCUCAAUCUCUAUUUUAUUUCUUAUGUUAUUUCAUCCUGAGAAUGCCUGUCAAUAGUGGCGGUAAAAAGUGCCCUAUUCAGCCAAUCAAAAGAAAGAGACCCUUUGGGUUGAGGACUUGACGUUGUCUCUGUGAGAAUGUGGGUUUGAUUCCUGACCUCAGUCAGUGGGUUAAGGAUCUGGCGUUGUCACAGCUGCAGUGUAGGUUGCAGAUGUGGCUGGGAUCUGGUGUUGCUGUGUCUGUGAGGUAGGCCCGAGCUGCAGCUCUGAUUUAACCCCUAGGUCUGGGAACUUCCAUAUGCCACAGAUGUGGCCUUAAAAAGAGAAAAAAAAAAAACCCAAAAAACAAAGAUCAGAAAAUGAACAGAUCCUUGCUUUUCUAGCAGGUGUACUUCAUAGAAGAAAUCUGCCCAAUCUAACCUGGACCAAAUAACCAUGUCAGUGUCCAAGGCCUUAAGGCUUGGUAAUUGACAGCUCACCAGGGCUAAAGGCAUAAAGGCACAUGUGAGUGAUGGUUACUCCAUGGAAGGGAUGCUGUAAGAUGAAUACAAGUUCAUUACAGAAUUCCCUCAAAGGAGUUCUUAAUGAGGCAUGUGUAAAGUUCCUCAUGUAUCAUGAGACGGCAUCUGAAAAAUCUCUGAAACAAUGUCAGAAACACAGUGGGGUUCAAUAGGCUUUAGUUCUUUGCCUCCCUUUCCCCAACCCCUUUUGAAGGGGUGAGGAUCUCAGAGAGCCCAACCUCUCUACUGUGAGUAAGUGAUUCUCUAGAACAAAACGUCCAGGAAACAGAUGAACUCCCAUUUAGGAGGAACCACCUGCACUGCCUAGGCCAAAAUGAUUUGAGUGUUAAGAUAAACUGCAGGCAAGGACCUUUAUUUUUGCAUGUGUGUCCCUUAGCACUUGUCCCUUGUUCAGCUCACAGGGGAGUCCCCAAAAUCUUCUGAGUUACACCAAUAGAAUAUGGUAUGAAAUAAUUUCAAAGUAACAUUUGGCAGUGUUCCCUCCUACUAGCAAGAUAAAAACCAGAAACCUCAAUACUUGGAAUAUAACUUAAGACUCCAUUUCCCAAAGUAUUUUUCUAUAAAAUUUGACAUUCUAUUCAAGUCAUGCACAUUGGGCAAGGUCAACCCUUCUGUAGAUUCCCAUGACUUUGGGAGCACCUUGUGACAUGCAUCACACCUCCAAUUGUGUGGAACGUUGUGUAACUUGGUCUUGAAAGAAGACCACUGAAUUGAACUUUGUAGACCUGGAGAGCACCUCAGUUUGUAGAACAGGAAAUAGAGUGCUCAUUACAGGUGUCAUAAGCUAAGCAGGAAGUUAGACCACUUUGUGUUCCUAGAAAACAAAAGUAAAAUGCACUGGUUGAUACUUUAUUUCCCAAGGUCUCUAAUAAACUCCCUGUAGACAUUAUUGGCUGAGAUAAGAAGACAGUUCUCAGGGAGGACUCUGAAUCUGAGAAGAAAAGUCUUCAAUAUUUAUAAUUAGGCAUUUUCUUUGCCAGGAAGAAGUAAAUGACAUAGGGAUCUCCUUACUUAUUAAGAGAUAUGGAAAUGACUUCGAUGGGCUAUAAAAUGUAAGGUGCUAAGUUUUCCCAGUGCCACCACAAGGAGAAAAUGAGAUGUUGAAAAGGAAAGAGAUGGAAUCUAUCUUUGGAUAGAAUCUAUCUUUAGAUGGAUUCUAAAGGUGAAGCCAUUCUUAUAGGUUCUCUUGCUGAAAUCAGCAAAAAGCAUCCACAUUAAAUAAUAGCAACGGUAGAGAAUGCUUGUUCAGCACUUAUGGCUUCCCAGGCCCUGAGCUAAGUCCUUCAAAUGCAUUGUCUUUUUGAAAUCUCAAAGUAACCCAACAGGUAGCUGUUACUGAUCCUAUUAUACAAAUGAAGAUCUUGAGGCUUGGAAAGUUUAAAUAACUUGCCUAAUCUUCCACAAUUCAUAAAUGGAGGACAUGGAACAUAAACUCGUGUUGGUACUAGAGCCUUAGCCACUAAACCAUAAUAAUUUCUGAAUUAGAGCAGAAGAGAUUUAAGAUAAUCUGUGGGGAAAAAAAUAAAUACAGAGGGAUAUACCAAUAAUGGAAUUUUCUAAGCCUUUAGUUUAUCUUUAAACAUAGUUCUGUUCUAAGAACAGGCUUUUCCUACACACUAACUUCUAUUGCCUCCCCAUCUGUGUUUUUAAUAAAGAUAAUUAGGGUCACUUUGGUUCAACCAGUCCUUAUUUAUAAUUAUACUGCACCUGGAAACCCAAAAGAAUGUACAGAUUCAUGUUAGCUCCCAGUCAGUGCUUGGAAGGGUUUACUUUGCCCUCAAAAGACAAGCGGUCUUUAGUGAAGAAUUCAGGAAAUUAGGCAUUGGACCAGUCCAAAGAGCCCAGCAACUAAAAUUGGUCUCUAGUUCUCUAUGUCUCUCAUACACACAGUUCAUUUCUCUUCUCCUCGAUCUAUUGUUGCUGUGAUAUUUGCAAAAACACACAGAGGAACUCUGUUGAUCCCUGAGUCCCUGUCGAUAUGAUUGGGAUGAAUGAAAAAAGCUUGACUUCUUCCCCUUGACUUCAAUGUGCCUCCCCUGGAAUCUCUCAGACCCAUGGACAUGGCAUCAUUUGCCCUACAGUCUGUUUCCCACAAGCUGGGAAUACAGUCUACUGCCAAUAACAGCCUUCUUUGGAUCACAGCUUUCUCCCCAGUCUUUGAUUUCACAGGAUAAUGGAAGAUGGAUGUCACAGGACUGCUGUGAAUAGAUAGAGAAGACCAGAUAGCAGAGCACUUUGCAUCACAGAUAACACUAAAACAACAAAACCACAUCAAUGCAAUCUAAAGAUUUUAAAUAUUUUGCCCCACUGAAGAUGUAAGGAGAAUGUGUUUGGCAUCAGGAAAUGGGUUUUCAAACAUUUGAGAGCCACAGGCAUGGUUUGAAAAGAGAAAGCACUACAGCAGCCCUGUUGGAGGCUCAUCCAAGAGUUCUAGAAGUUAAUGAGUGCCGUGGUGGGAAAGGCUCCCCGGCAUCAUUUCUUAGAGAGGGUAGAGACUGGGCACCUGGGAGUGGCCAUGUCUGAAGGACUUUAACACUCAGGAGGAGCCAGGUAAUAACCCAUCCUUUACCACAGGGUUUAUCCUUAGAGGAAAGAACCAAAGGAGUCUUUGGGCCCAUCUAGCUUUCGCUUAGGUGAAAUCACUGUGUAGGAAGGAGUAAGAUGUUAUGAGCACAUCUUCAGAAGUAAAAGCAGUAGCAGAAAUCUUGAUAGCUAUAAGAGAGGGAGCCGGAACCAUGGACCUAUAUUCUUGGAACCUGAGUUUGCCAGCUUUGUCGCCCUCCAUCUCAGCAACAUUCUUAAUGUGAGAAGAGCCUAAUAAUCCCCUGAGGAAGCCAGUCCAGGCUCCGAUGGACCUCUGCACACAGCUGCAAUCCCAAGACCUUUUCAUGGUUCCGUAAUGCAGGUGGGAUAUUAAAAUGAAAUACCCAUGUCUUUGAAAUGUAAUAGGAUGAAAGAGCCAAAAAUGAGAACAAGAAAUCUGACAAUUAACCCAAGAACAUUUGUUUGCUAAUGAGAACUUUGGAAAUGUUGAGCCAAAUAUGAGAAUGCUAUUUAUUAUCCUGAAUAACUCAUUUCAUAAGGAAAGGGAUUGUUGUUCUUACUGCUUUUAGUUGUUGCUGAAUUUAAAUAUGAAGAAAUACCAUUUGCCUAAGGAGUGGAGGGCUAAAAAUACCAAUUCCGCUCCAAUAUCCCACUAGGAAUUCUUAAAGUAAAAGACAAACCAGGAAACCACCCCCCCCCAAGAAAAUCUCUCAUGUAUCAGCCAAAGCCUUCAACAGUUUUACAGUAGAGGUGAACUUCCAACAGAUCUGCUCAAUGAUGUUGACUUUAAUUGAUGUGAAAUCUGAUCUCACUUAAAAGAGCUGAUUUACUUCAAAGAAAAAGCUAACCCUCUGAUUCUACCACUUUAAUUAAUGAGAGAUAAAUAAUAAUCCUUUGGCCUCAAAAGAUCUUCCCCAUACUAUGAAAUAAGCUUUACCUGCGAAGGGAAGGGUAUGAGGAGGAAGAAGGAAAAUAGCCCCACACAGAGAUUAAAGAAAGUCUCUUGUGUUUUUCAAUUUGUGCCAGAAACACUCAUGCACUUUCUGGUCCUACAAAGGGUCCCUUCAGCCCUAUUUUCAUUCAUAAUUUAAUAUUCAUCUAAGAAACAUUAACAGACACCUACUCUAAGUUGGGUAGGAGCCUAGGGUGUUCUGUUCCUAGUGUUGAACAGAUAAAGGAAUUAUGACAUCCUUGUUCCCUCGGUGUUUUUUUUUUUUUCAUAAUCUAACAGUCUUGAAAUAAGUGAUUUCAGCACUAAGGUUAUGCUAUUGUGGGAAAACAAAGGAGUGCAUUCAGGAUUUUUCUUUUUUAAAAAACCUAAUGAUAGACUUACAUGGAAAUAUCAUUUUUCCUUUCUAAAAAUCUGUGAAAUCACAUUUAGCAAACCAAAAAUACUUCUACCUCAAUUAUCAGUGCUUAUUCCUAGUAACCCAAAAUCUAUAAGAUCUAUAACCCUAUCCACUCAUAUAAUGUGGUGUGACAAUUUCUAUCAAAAUAAUGACAAUAUUUCCUGAAACAUGGUAGAACAACACAAGAAUAGGAGCCAGGCCAAAACUCUCAGAAGUAACCAAUGAAGUCCUAAUGGCCCUCCACCCCAUCCUAUGGAUAUAUCUGUGUCAUAACAAAGGAGAGAGCACUGCUUUAGUGCAAGAAUUAAGUGCAUUCAAACCUGAGCUCUGCUCCUUGAAUGGUAAGAGUAGUCACUGCUGCCCUAACCCUGCUAUCGUGGGCUAAAAUCCCGUUGAAUUGUUUAUAAAACCCUGUGAGGCAUAUUCAUCAUCCAUUGUCAAACAUUAAGAAUAUGAGGUUCAAAGAGAUUAAGUAGUUUAUCCUGCUGAUAAGUAGCAGAGUCACGAUUUAAAUUCAGAACUGACCAGGUUUAAAGUGUUUCCACAGUGGACUCACCCCGUUUCAUGUCACAGCCCUCCAUCCCUUUACAUGUAAAAUGAACCCAGCAAGGCUUCUCUCACUAUAUUGUUGAGAGAAAUAAUUUAAAUGUGGUUAUGAGGAGUACCCAUCGUGGCACAGUGAAAACAAAUCUGUUAUCCAUGAGGCUGCAGGUUCGAUCCCUGGCCUUGCUUAGGGGGUUAUGGCUGUGUUGUAGGCCAGCAGCUACAGCUCAGAUUGGACCCCUAGCCUGGGAAACUCCAUAUGCCAUGGGUGCAGUCCUAAAAAGACAAAA